rnacentral:rRNA from 1 species
GACAGCAGCAGCCGCGGUAAUACGAAGGGUGCAAGCGUUACUCGGAAUUACUGGGCGUAAAGCGUGUGUAGGUGGUUGUUUAAGUCUGUCGUGAAAGCCCUGGGCUCAACCUGGGAAUUGCGAUGGAUACUGGGCGACUAGAGUGCGGUAGAGGAUAGUGGAAUUUCCGGUGUAGCAGUGAAAUGCGUAGAGAUCGGAAGGAACACCAGUGGCGAAGGCGGCUCACUGGUCCAUUACUGACGCUGAGGCACGAAAGCGUGGGGAGCAAACAGGAUUAGAUACCCCUGUAGUCCCUGUCUCUUAUAC